rnacentral:lncRNA from 1 species
GAGAAAACAACGGGAGAGAAGGAGAGUAGGGUGAUUUUCUUCAGCCAGACGAGCCUAGAAAGGUUUCCAAAAAUGGUGAAUUGCUAUAUCAUCUUGAGCUUUGCAAUCUCAUAAUUAAAUAUUCAUGUCAAUUAUAUUUUGACCAAAGGGCAAUGAUAUAAACAGAUACUCUAGUGAAGAUUUGUAUAAGACUUUGAUCAUGUUGAAUUUGUCUGUAUUAAGUAUCAUGAUAAACAUAAUGAAUAAAAAGAGUUAUCAAAAAACAGUGGGGAACAGGAGUAAGACUGUAUUUUAUUCCAUUUAGUAUAAUGUUUGGUCCCCACAAAUGUGCCUUGGAAAAGAUCACAGAGAAAUAGAAAGGUAGAAAUUAUUUUUUGGUAA